rnacentral:rRNA from 1 species
UACGUAGGGUGCAAGCGUUGUCCGGAAUUAUUGGGCGUAAAGAGCUUGUAGGCGGUUUGUCGCGUCUGCCGUGAAAGCCCAGGGCUUAACCCUGGGUCUGCGGUGGGUACGGGCAGACUAGAGUGUGGUAGGGGAGACUGGAAUUCCUGGUGUAGCGGUGAAAUGCGCAGAUAUCAGGAGGAACACCGGUGGCGAAGGCGGGUCUCUGGGCCGAAACUGACGCUGAGGAGCGAAAGCGUGGGGAGCGAACAGG